UCGUCGACUCGUGUCGUGAGAUGUUCGGUUAAGUCCGCUAACGAGCGCAACCCUCGCUGUGUGUUAUAUGUGUCACACGGGACUGCCGGUCUUAAGCCGGAGGAAGUGGGGAUGAUGUCAAGUCAGCAUGGCCUUUAUAUCCUGGGCUACACACACGCUACAAUGGCCAACACAAUAGGUUGCUAAGCCGCGAGGUGGCGCCAAUCCAUAAAGUUGGUCUCAGUUCAGAUUGUAGGCUGCAACCCGCCUGCAUGAAGAUGGAGUUGCUAGUAACCGCAGGUCAGCUAUACUGCGGUGAAUACGUUCCCGGGGCUU
rnacentral:rRNA from 1 species